CUCUCUAUCGUGUAAUACGUGGUAUUGAUUGUUCCGCCUGAAUGCUAUAACCCCUUCCACCGAGCCGCGCCUCGAAAAUUAGCUUGGUCUUCGGACGGGACGAUUUGGAGAGGAGCCCCGUCUGCGAAGGUCAUCCUUUCAAUAAUUUUUGAAGGAGUAAUAAAGUAAUCGAAGACGAAACGGAGGCGAAAGCAGUUCCAAUAGUCUUGAAUUGUUGCGAAGGAGCAGAAUCGACUGCUAUCUGAAUAGAAAUUACUUCUAGAGAAGACACGAGAAUUUCAACUACACUCAACUUGAUAAUUAAACUUUCGACACCAGAAGUGAAACAUAUUUUCAUUGCACUUCCUGUUCUUUCGCACAUCCGACGAUACCUCCCAAAAGAAUAGUAUAGAUGGCCGAACUUCAAUAAGAAACGAAAACAUUUUCCUCCUUAAUCGUAUAUGAUAAUGGUCAAUCAAUCAUUGCUGUGUUUAUCGAAUGAUUUUAUGAUGGCGACGGGACUAUUUCUAUUUAUGAGAGGGUCAUUAGGUCUCUUAACUUUAGCUAUCCUUAAUGUAUUAUAUUAGUGCAUAUAAAUCUAGAAUCCACUUAUUUUUCAACUACUGUAAUGAAGAACAUUAAAUGUGGGAAGCAAGAUGCUGGAUGAAGGAGAGCAGAUCGUAAAUGCGGCGGAGGAAGCUGAUGCUGCUCACGAAUUUAUUACGAAUCUUUCAAAUGAUGUGGAAACCAAGUUGAUGAGAGACGAACCUAAUUAUCUUGUGUAUGGAAGCUACAUGCUGCUAUUGCUAGAGCAUUACUAUAGAAACCAUCGACUUGGAUAUUGAAUUUUGAUACACAAGGGCAUCAUAAAAGCAGAAGAGUUUCUCAAGAAGCAGUUGGAAGAUCUAACCAAAGAAGGAACAUCGUGCUUUUGCACUUGUGUACAAAUGGAAUACCUAGGAGAAGGAAAAAGAAGAAAAAACAUUUGUUUUUUUCCGAAGAAGUUUUGAAAGACCAACAUGGAACUGUUUUAUAAAGUUUGGAACGGUGGUACGUGGAAAUGGGAGGGAUUUGGCUUUUUCAAAAGAACCACUCGUGAGCGGCUUUAGCUGGAGGGUAUAUGCGAUUGUGCUCAGAAGGAUUUGUAGAGGGUUCGUCAGAAGUUCCAAGAGGGGCAAGGGUCAAAGGGGAAUUAAAAUGAAACUGAGGGAGGUAUACAAAACAAUUUAACAUGCAGGGACGAUGAGAAGGUUCAUCUUUUUUGAAAGUAAUAACGUUAAUAGGGGAAUACUUUUAAGCUAUAUGGGAAAUGGAAAGUCCAUUUCACGUCAUCGUUAUUCCAUCGAUUUAAAUUGAGUAAUCGUUGGAUAUAAUUCAGAAAGGAGAAAUGCUGAAUUGGUUGUCGUAAUAUUCACGACAUCUAGUUGAAAAAUAUUCGUAAUAUUUAAUUGGCGAUUUUCAUGAUUAUUGAAAUUCGCACGAAGUGAUUUGGUGCGUAGCGCGAAUUAUCUGCUAUUAAUUCCUACUCCUGUACUUAUUUAGCCAAGUACUUUCGUUUUAACCCCACCGUUAUUCUCUCUCUCUGCGUGUGCUCUGGUGCGCGCCUAUCUGCGCCAGUUCGAGGGGUCGGGAUUGAGUGCGCGGUCUUGUGUGCGUGUAUGCAUACAACUCCUGUCUUCUCUUGAUAAUAAAGAAAAUAUGUUUUCAUUUGUAUUCCUAUCAUCAGGUGAAGCAGAUAAUUGGAGAUUAGCUCUAUAGUUCAAUUGUCUAUUUAGAUUCAUUGUUUGAUAACUAUUACUUAUUUUGCAGAGCAUUGGACUAUUUUUUUAGGAACCAAUUGAUUUGGAACAUAUUAUAUGAAAUAUUCGAUAACUGGAGGUAUAAUGGGAUUAUUGUUUUGCAUUCUCCAAUAGGGAGUAAAUUUCUAGGAAAAUGUAACCGUUCAUAGAGAAGAGUCAAAUCAGUCGUGGUAGAUGGAUCUGCAAAAGAAUUAACCAGGUAAUUAAAUGAUACAGCUAAAUGGAUAAUUGAAUUAUACCGCUAAUAGUAUUAUCGAAUUCUCUGGCUGGUUUGAUGAGAUGAAAAACUAAUGAAAAGAUACCUUUCUUAUUUUGAAAAUAUGAGAGGAGAAGUACGCAGACACGCCCACUUGAACUCGCUCACGUAAAUGCGCACGUUCACGAGGAGAGGUAAUUACUCGUUUAAUAUGAUGGUGCUGGACGAUAGGUAGGAGAAAAGGCGUACGUGCAGAUCGUUAAGUCCCGAUCAAUACCCGGUAUUAGAGGAAUUUGUAGACAUGGGGGAUCAUAUGUUUUUGCAAAAGAAUCAUAAUUUUGUUCAUUAUAAUUUUCUACGAUGUCUAUGAUAAAUGUUGAAUCAAUUCUCUUUCCACAUUAUCAUCCCUCGCAUUAUGUACGAGAUCUCUCCGUUUUUUUGUUGGACGUAAUCACUAUCACUCUUAUCGUUUUCUUACCCGAAUAAUAUUUAUUUUUUCUAACGUAUCUGUAUAAAUGUCUCUCUGGAAUUCCUCUUUGGUAUUACUUAUGACACGAAACUCACUAUUGUUUGGAUAUUUUGCCAUUCUCUUAAUGAAAAAAAAGUAAGUAAUUGAAAGCGCUGCUAGUCUCAAAUUGUAUCUUACGAAAUCGCGAAACGAUAUAUACCAAAAGAAUAUUACGUUUCUGAUUUUCUGACUUAUUAGUCUUGGGAACUAUCUAUUUCACUAAAAGUUUCAAUACGAAGCGAGUUCAGCUUCGAAAAUAUCUCCUCAGUUUUAUGAUUACUUGUUUACUCCAUCAAAUAUCACUGCAUCGUACGAGGCGUACUCGUGUACCAUUGCAGACAAGUCCUUAUCACUUCAUUUAAGCGGUUUAGAGAAGUGUUGUUGACCGUUUGAACGUACUUCUUUUCUGUAAGACCGACUCAUAUUCUUUUCAUAGAACUUGGUAAUUUGAACAUUUGCAGUAGUUGAAGACAACUGCAUAGCAAAUAUUGUAACACAUGUCCGUCGCCUUUUAUUUCACUUUAUGCAAACUUUUAUAUUUCCUCCGUCGACUCGAUAUUGUGAAACAAUGACUACGUGACAAGGAACAAUUAUCACGAUUAUCCACGAAAAAUAUACUCGUUUAUAUAGAAGUAUGUAAUCAGUCGUGGUACAUCGUUCUGCAGGAGACUUGAACGGGUAAUUAAAUGCUAUACAUAAAUAGAUAAUUGAAUUAUACUGCUAAUCGUGUUAUCGAUUUGUCUGCAUGGUUUGAUAAGAGGGAAACUAAUGAAAAAUUACCUGUUUUGUUUUCGAAAUAAAGCAGAGGAACGCAGACACGUCCACUCAUCCCCGCCCACUUGAACUGGCGCACGUAAUCCCGCUGGUGUAUGGAGGGUUGUAAUAAUAAAUCGAUCAAUAUAACGGUCCUUGACUAUAUGUAUGAGAGUAGGUAUUACCUACAUGCAGGUCGUUAAAUACCGAUCAAUACCCGUUAACAAGAGAAUUCGCUCUACCUAGCAAAUUAUUUCGUUUAAAUUCCUAUAUCAUCGAAAAACGUAUAUUAAAUAUUAUGAAUAUUUUUGAAGACCGUGUGAUUAUUUUGGCAAACAGUUUGGAACAACAUGGAACUCAACAUUUCUUCUGUUUUUAAUUAUAGUGAAUGAUUAUUUAAAUUGAGCGAACAAUAAUGACAGAGUGAUCUAAACGUGGAUUUCAUAUUUCAUGUAUAGUUUAAAUCUAUUCUGAUUUUAAAGUAUUUCGGAUAUAUUUUUAGUAUUUGAUACUAUUAUAUCAUAUACAAACGGUGAAUGUUUUAAUCGUCGCAGCAGCUUUAAUUCUUUUCCAAUAUAAACCUCCCUCCGUUCCAUUUCGAUUCUCCUUUGAACAAGGUCCCGCUUGCAACAUCGGACGGCCCUUCGACAAAUCUUUCUGAACACAAUCGAUUGUAUCCUCUAGCUAAAACCCACUUCGAUCCUUUGAGAACGGGAUUUUCCGUCUCUUCAUAUUACCAUUCGAAUGAAACAUUCGAAAACAGCGCCAUAUUAAUCUCGUGAUUGCUCGUUGUCACUGGCACUAUAAAUUUUUUCGUCUUCUUUCUGCUUUAUUUCAGUCACAUAAUGAACAGGAUAUGGAUCUUUACGGAUAAAUUAAAGACAAGAACGACUUUUCGAAACGGAACAUUUGGCCUUUAAAUCUAACACGUUGCUUUACAGUCUCUCCGGGAAGCAUUAAAAAGUUCGGGAGAAGUUGAUAAUCUUAGAUAGUACGAUAUUGAGUGAUUAGAAAAGAAAUAAGUAAGUAAACGGGUUGAAGGCUCAAAUUGUAUAUUUCGACAUCACGAAACAGUAUACACCAAAAUAAUAUAACACUUUUGAUUUUCUCACUUAUUAUUUCUGGGAUUUUUCUGAAAAUAUAAUAUCAGUAAACAAAGAAAUAUGACGGACGAUUUUCUCCGUCUUCGCAUACGACAGAAGAUUCUAGAAUAGGCAUUACAUAGUAUGAAAAUUGUAAUAUCAUUAAUAUCUAAUAAUAUUAGAACACUAUUUUUAAGUAUAACUUGAACUUACUAAAGAAAAAACAUUACAAAUUUGAUUAAUUUUGAUAAUUUUGAUAAAUUUGAUAAAUUAUGAGUAAUAUCAUAGAAAUUAAUGUUCAUAAUUACAAUAAUUAUAACUAUUGUAAUUAUUUUUACAAAAAAUUUUCAUAAUAAUUAAUUAUAUUAUAAUUAAAGAAUAUGCGGUUAUUUAGCUGUAAUUAAUAUACCCAAUAUAUAAUUAUUUACAUAAUUUAAAUUAAAAAAAAAUAGUGUUUUACAUGUUUAUUUGAAUUAAGAAUGGGAAGAAUUAUGGUCAAUUUCAUUAGAAGGUUACAAGAUUUGAAAUAAUUUUUCACGUACAUAGAGGACAUGAGUAUAUAACUACAUAACUACAGGAGAGGGGAAAUUUGUCAUCCCCUAGCUAGGAAGCAUGGUUAUAUAAGGGGACGACAUGAUAUUAAUUUCGCCAGGGAACGUCAUUCCUUCGGUGGUUUUCGAACCAGUAAUACGCAAGUGAGUGCCACACGGGAAAUAGUCGCCAGUGCAUAUACCUCAUAAGUCCGAAAGAAUACUUUUAUAAGCAAUUAAAACGGGAGAAACAAUUUCAUCGUUCUCACACGACAUCUUCGGUAUUUAGCUAACAGUGUUCUUUCUUCGCGUUCGUUUUCUUCGUUCUCGAAUUCCUUCUUGAAUCACUCUUCCGCUUUCACAAUCCAAUGCGCUAUAUUAUAAAAGAUAAAAUUCAUGUAGAAAAUUGUAUAAGAUAUGUGACAAAUUACUUAUAUCUGAUCUUUUCAUACCUCGUUUAUUAAAAUCCAAUAUUCAAGUUGAUCGUUGCUAUAGUAUUGCGUUAGCAUUGGCGUCACGGUGUUUCCAUACCCCGGAUAAUUAGAUGCUUUUCUCGCCAAUUUGGUGUAUAUCAUAUGGAUUAUUUGAAAUGGAUUCAUUUUGAAAUGGAAAUACUUUCGUCGACUUCAUAAAAUCUAUGUAAAAGUUCAAUAAAUUAUUGUAAAAUAUACUUAUGAUAGAGAUUAAAUAUUUCAAAUUACAUUUCAGAAUAAAAAAUUUAUAUCUUAUCUCUAAAACAUCUUACCUUUCGGUAAACAGAGCACUUGUACUAUCGAUGUAGAACUCAUGUUCGGAAGAGCAGGAAAUACCGAUGUAAAUAUGUUUCACUUGGGAUGUGGAAUAUUUCAUUACGACGUUGAGCGUAGUUGAAUUUCGUGUAUCUUCUUUGGAAUUAAAUUCAAAUGUAAGUCCAUUGGACUCCUUUGCAAUACUUCGACUAUUGGAACUGCACCUUCGUUUUCUCUAUUCUAUCUAUAUAAUAAUUUAAAAUUCCUAGGUUAGUAAAGACUCACGAUAGGCAUUGAACUGCUCAUCCAAUUGUGUAGGUAACAAAGAUAAACCUAAUUACGCGCCUUUAAGAAAUAUAAAAUACCUUCACCGAAAAGCAACAAAUAAUUAUAAUGUUGGUAUUGAUCACGACAAUCAGUUUCAUUUCGAUAAAAUAUAAUUGAAAUUUUAUAAUAAAUCACAUAUUAAUGACCACUGAUAAAUUUACCUUAUAUUGAUAACAUAAACAAAAGACUAGUGAGAACGAAGAAAUUGUUUCCACCGCCUGAACCGCUUGUAAAACUACCCUCUGGAACGUAUAAAGUAUACGCAAGACGAAUAUUUAUUGUACGACACUUGCUCACAUAUUAUCAGUUCGACCACCACCGAAGGAAUGACGUAAAGCUUUAUCGGCCUGCUCUGAUAGACGGUAUUUUUCCCCCGCUCUUCGCUAUCGUUCGUUAGCAUAGCGUCAAAGAAUACGCCCUCUGCAAAGGGUUAUUACGCUUUAAAUCGAUUAAUCAAUAUCUCCUGUUAUAUGUUCGAAAGAAAAUAAAAGGUCAUAAACUGUGAGGAAA